AAUAUAUUGCAAAAUGUCAGUUAUAAAGCAAUCUAAAAUUUAUAACUCGGCAAGGAUAUGGAAACCAUUUGAAGGAAAUGAGGCGGUAAAAUACUCUUGAAGCUACGCAGAAAGUGAGCGACUUAUGGGACAUAUAAGGAUAUAAGGGAAGGCAUAUUGAACUGCUUCAAAUACCUAGCAUCGCAAGGCAAUAUAUGUGAUUACAUAGUCAGAAGCUAGCGCUGUUGUAAGAAAGAUGGGGAUAUUUUACUAAGUCCUGUAACAAUAACUCUUUCUCGCUCUACUCUCUGAGCACCUUAGAGAAAUUAUAUUGAUAUCAAUUACAUGAAAGACGCUGUUUUAAUGGGAAGAAGAAAUAAGAGUGUCGCAAAUUAAUUUAAAUUUCUGUAACGCUACGUAAAAGCUACUACAGCAAAGCAUAUGAGAGCAACAAGUAGUCUGAGCAAGCCAUAUAAUAUCCCGCAAAAUGAAAGCUGAAAAAAGUAUGAGUUGGUUAAGCACGUUAUUUGGAUGGGCGAUUUUAGUGGUAUGACUUUACCCGAAAGUCUAGCAAUCCUCGAUAGAGCUCUUUAUAUUAAUUUAUUAAUACAUAGGCCCAAACACACCUUCCUUAAGCUGGUUAUGGUUGGUCAUUGGCGUUACCUUGGCAAGCAAUAGUUUCUACUUAAAAUUGUUAUGACGCCAAGGUAACAUACACAUGUAAAAUGAACAUACGCCGCUAAUCUAUGACGUCAAAGACGUGAUUAGAAUCAACUCGAUCGAAAAAGCCAUUAGACGUUAGUCAUUCCUUUAUAACAUUACUUUUAUCGAUCGGACACUAAGACCAAUUAUGUGGAUAACGGGACAGUUCGUGUAAAUACAGGGGAUAUGCGAUCGAAAUAUAACCGUGACUUUAUCAAAGAUCGCAAAAAACUGUGACGUACUUGCCUUGCUAUUUGUGGAAGUUUAAAAAAACAACCAUCAAAAGCACACGUAGUGGUUUAAUUGAGCUUGUAAGUUGCAAAGAAAUGAACCCAUAAUGAUCAACCUACCAAAUGUUUAGCAAUCAACGUUAAUCGGAGUCUAUAUGUCGUUUAUCCCUAGGCGACUGUUAUUCGGUUACACUUGUACUUCAACUAUUUAUCUGUUCAUUUAACUGCCACUUGUUAAUUGUUAAAUAAAGGUAGUUAGGAAUGGUGGGUAAAUCGCUAUAGAAAUUUUAUAAGUUUUAAAAGAAAAAAUGAUGUUAAAAUCAUUAUCUGUAUUAUUUCGCAUUUAUAUUAUCUUGUCAUUCGGCUUGUCCCCAUUACAAAUAAACGCAUAUACACAUCAUAUAUUUUACACAGUCAUAUAUUUUGUCAUUUGUUUGUAUGUCAUAGGAACUUGAUCGCGUUUCUAUUGUAUUAGCCACCACAAAAUAUCCAUGCUACGAGAAUGUGUCUCCGUACAUACAAUUUUAUAUAGACGAAAAGCGCUGAAUCCCAGAAUAGCUGCUGUUCUUAGCACAACAUUUAUUUUUUAAUAAAAUGAAGGUAGUUUUCAAAAACUGAACAAAACAAAAAGUCGGAUUACUGUAACUAGCGCAGCGGUAAAAGAAAAAAUGAAACAAAUAGAAUGUACACAAAUAUUACAAUACAUUAAAUAAUAACAAUGACUAAUAUAUCCAAAAAUUCAUUCAUGUGAAAAAAUAAGUAAAAACUAAACAGAAAACUUUACCAUGAAUGCUGAAUAAAUCCAGUUAAGGAUUGAGUGACUCGAAUAUUUGAUACUAAAGCAGGAAGCGGUCGUAAAGAAACGGCAACAACCUCAGAUGCUACUUUAAAAUGAAAUCAUUAAGCACAUUCAACACAUACAGCACCAAAAAUUUGAAUACAAGAACCAAUCAUGCAAGUGCAGCCAAGAUCCAAACAAAUAGAGGCGAGUUUACAACAAUACCAUCAGCAUCAACUGGAUCCACAAAGACAAUUCGUAAAGCCAGCUUUGAGAGUUGGCCCGCACGAUAUUCUGGGUCAAUUUCGCCAACUAAGUCUCUUUAGAAAAGGUAAUCUUCUUUCCUUUUUUCUAAACCUGUGGAAAAUGCGUUGAGUCUAUAUGAUCAAAACGCAGAGUUGAUAACAUAUGGCACAAUGACAGCAAAAAAUGAGAAGUUGCUGGGAAAUGCAGUGAAGUCACUUUCAACAUGGCCGGAGAGCAGCAAUUUUGAGAGAUAAGAACCAAAAAGAACUUUUCGUCAAGAAGGGAUUACGCUGAAGUACUUAACUGCUGUAAAAAUAUAAAAAUAAAUAAUCUAAAUGAGAUGUAUUCAUGCAUGAUGAAUAAAAAAUUAUACAUACCGCAUAAUGUCAAUAUGGAUAUAACUGAAAUACUUACUACAAUAAUCAACGCAUAAUUUAGAGCUUGCCUAACAUCAGAGCAAUAAACUUUAAACAUAGGAAAAGAACUAAUGUACAAGCCAAAAAAAUUGGACGGAAACCAAAUCCACAGUCUUGUAGGCCGAGAUAAUUUUACCAGUAAACAAUGUUAACAAGAAACGGCGUUCAAACAAAACUUUUUUAGUACCAGAUGCCAAGCGCUUUCCAAAAUCUCGGUAUUAUCCGUCGAAAAGGAAUUGUUCCUAUAGAUUUCACAAAUGUAGGCAAGUAAUAGGAACAUCAGGAGGUAAAUUUGCUCAAGGGUCGUUUAAAUCAAGGAUAGCUUCAGUAGCAAUUAUUAUUGGAAUUUAAAGAGUAGAAUGUUUCAUUGAGACUAGAUCGUAAACUAGUAUAGUUAGGCGCAAUCAUUUUAAAGAAGAGUUUUUUGAAACAGCAUUAAGAAAACGUUUCCGGUACCGUAUUUGAACUACAGUAGCCUAGUUACACCGGUUCCUAAGAAAUUUAAGCGAUUAGGCGUAUUUUUUGGGAAAGUAUAAUAAUAAAUAUAAUUUACUCGUUAUUGCCGAUACACCUCUACCGAUACACAUCUUUCAAAUUUCCAGAAAUCGAUUCACGUAAAGAGUAUAAUAUAACUAUAAAUAAUAUUCCAUACAAGUACGCAGACAUUAUACUAUUAAAAUAUCUAUAAAGAACUUCAAACUGUACUAUAUUUUCGAACUGCAAACGUAAAUAUAAUGAUGUAUUUAACACAAUAGCGAUUGAUAGUGAAGGAAUAGGUAUAUUAUAAAAAAUUGUGAUAACAAAAAAACUUAUUAAAUAAUAAUUAUACACUGUACUUGCUUAAUUGCGAAGUUAAAAUAGAUUAUAAUGGUUUUGUAAUGAAAAACGAAAUUUUAUUUGGUAAAGUUAAGAAUGAUAAUAGCAAAUACAUACAAUUUUACUUUUUAACUUAAAGAAACUAGAAAAUCACGGUUUCCUAAAUGAAAUAAAACAAUUAAAAUUUCAUGAAAAUAUUUCCUAUGAGAAUUUAAAUAAUGUUAUCAAUGCUUAUAUUUGGAAGUAUAGAAAAUAAAAUUUGAAUUAAGAUUCAUGAGACCUUUCUUCAGAGAAUACUGAGAUGUGAAAAAAAUGAGUAAUACAUUUACAUGUACAUAUAAUCGUAUUUCCGAAUUCAGGACAAAUUGUAACUAAAGUACGAACACGAUUUUUAGGUUAUGAGCAUUACGCAAAAUUAGUCGAACACAGCUUGCGAGCUAAGGGAAAUUCGUGUGAUUAGCGCACGCUAUAUAAACGCGUAUGAAGAGACACAAAACAAGAGAGUGGAUAUUGUCUUUGAAAUAUAAUUUUCUUGAAGUGAAACACUAAAAAAAAGGAAAACAGAUAUUUUUUGCACGCGGAAGGCGACCUUAACUAUUCCUGGUUUAGAAGUAAACAUUUGAGCGACACAAGGAAAUGGCAAGGGGCGAUUUAAUUGUUUGGAUUAGGAUAAGAGGAAUGACGUGGGAGUGUGAUCGUCGUUGCCGUAAGUACAAAAGCCGAUGAUAGCGAGCAAUUGGACGUGAAUGUUCGUAGGAAUCCUGAAGUAAUUGAUCUUCUUCUAAUUUUGACAGAGAAGAUGCUACCAAAAUCUUCUUAUAGACCAUCUCAUAUCUGUUAAGUGCAGAUUGUUGUUAAAGCUGCUCUAAAUUUCCCCUUCGUUAUAACUGGAAUUCAAAAAAACGUUUAUCUCAAGUUGUUUGCUCGUGAAGGAAGUGCCUGAUACUUAUCGCAUCUUAUGCUUAUUCUUGCUGCGUUUUAUUUGUUUUUGCCAAACUGGUCUUAGCGGACGCUCAUCUUGAAUGAUUUGGAGUCUCACAAAUUGCAUAGGUGCUGUAGAGGGGAAACACAUUAAUGUUGUGCGCCAUCGUAAUUCUGUUUCACAAUAUUAUAAGUACAAAGUUAAUAUGUUGCUACGUUAAGACAUGACCAACAUCUUACGAUAUCUUCGGAAUUGACGUUAAUCCCCAAGUGAUGGCAUUAUUAUGUGUCAUUGGGAAUUUUGGAAAGGGUUAGUUCAAAGUCGGCUAGAACUGCAUGAAACUAAAUUCACCACAUCAUAAUUUUGAAAGCUGCACAGCAUUUUCUCUGCGCGACAAGCCCAACAAGCGCUUCCCUUAGAAAUUUAUUAGCACAAGACACGGAAACUUUUAAUAAAACGUUAUCCGAGGAAAGAAGAACAGUCGAAAAUAUGUUCGACGGAAGAACCUCUCGUUGGAGUCUCGCGACGCAAAGCAUGAAGAUUAUCGGGAAAUAACGAAAACAGAAGUGUCUUUCAUCUUUGCGAUAUUUUGAAAAAUUAUUUAAACCAGACCCAGCGUUAUGAUAAUGAAGUUUAUUUAAAUAAGAAAUUACUGACUUAUAUAAAUGUAAUGAAAACACA